rnacentral:lncRNA from 1 species
GCCGGGAGAGUGGAUCUCAGCUGAACCCUCCUCUUAGGGGAGGAAAGGUCCUUUGGGGGAUGCUAGGAGUCACCCUGGAGAGUGAGGCUGGUGGCUUGGGGCUCCGUGGGACUGGCCAGGCAGGGAUGCCGGCACCCAUGGGACUCCUGGGGCUUGUCCUGCUCUGGGCGCCGGCAGGAGCAACCUCGGGGAAACUUCCUGAGUCACCAGCAGGACAGGAGGCCUGCAUGACAACGUGUGCUGGUGAGUGAGCCAAUCAGGACAGCCAGUCGCACCUCCGGCGACAGAAGCCUGGGCCACGAUGGGACCAAGUGGGGUGGCUUGAGGGGUGGAGAAGCUGUGAGGAGGGACAGCUCCACAGGGCCUUGGCCUUGUUCCAGAGAGAUCAGCUGCAGGUGGGGCAGGGAAGGCCAGGGUACACAGCUACAGCAGGCCCGCCUGGCCCAAGCCUGGCCCCCCCAUGGUCCUCAGUGGAGCGAAUGACUCUGGCCAAUGUGGACCUGUUUGCCUCUCAGGGUGGAGAAGGUGGAAUCUUAGGAACAGAUGCUUUGGAAAGAG